rnacentral:rRNA from 1 species
UACGUAGGGUGCGAGCGUUAAUCGGAAUUACUGGGCGUAAAGCGUGCGCAGGCGGUUUUGUAAGACAGAGGUGAAAUCCCCGGGCUUAACCUGGGAACUGCCUUUGUGACUGCAAGGCUUGAGUGCGGCAGAGGGGGAUGGAAUUCCGCGUGUAGUAGUGAAAUGCGUAGAUAUGCGGAGGAACACCGAUGGCGAAGGCAAUCCCCUGGGCCUGCACUGACGCUCAUGCACGAAAGCGUGGGGAGCAAACAGG